AACUCCCCGUGAUGGCCAGUUUCAUGUACUAUAUAUAAGUAAUUUGCCUUUUGCAUGGCUAUAAUUCUGCAUCCAUGUCUAAGGCCCAGUUUCACAGUUCCUCAUGAUGGAUUAGUAAGCUCCGAAACCAAUACCAGAGCCUUUGAAAUUUCCUUGUACGGUGUCUGGAGUUUAUAUUCAAGUUCACAAAUUUGACGAGACUAUACAGGAAAGGUCUUGUGUGUUUAUGGUACGAAGGAAAGGGAGGAGAAGGGAGAUGAGAUUGAGAGAGGAGAUCCUGUUUAUAAUCAAGUUCACAAAUUUGACGAGACUAUACAGGAAAGGUCUUGUAUUGUCGUGAUACGAAGGAAAGGGAGGUGAAGGGAGAUGAGAUUAGGAGACGAGUGAGCUGAGAUGGUGUUUAUAUUCAAGUUCACAAGUUUGACGAGACUAUACAGGAAAGGUCUUGUGUGUUUAUGGUACGUAGGAAAGGGAGGGGAAGGGAGAUGAGAUUGAGAGACGAGUGAGCUGAGAUGGUGUUUAUAUUCAAGUCCACAAAUUUGACAACACAAUACAGGAAAAGCUCUUUGUAUUUAGUGUGUCAUCGAAGACCGCGCCAUUUAGAACAGUAUGGGAUUCUAUAGCUUGGUUCGGGAGUGUUACAAAGACCAUGAUGGACUGUGGAAGCGGCCCUUAAUGUUCCCUUUUCUAAUAUGCCUCUCUGUUUUUGCAGGAUGCCGCGGACGGACCAUGCAGAGGACUCAUCGCGACGACACCGACGGUUUGGUUAAGUGGGUUUUCUUGUGUGUGCGUCUGUGUGUGAAUGGCAGGCCUGUCGUAUGAUUGUGUGUGUGUGUGCGUUGGCGUUAUGCCUUCGCGCUAUUAUUUUGUUAGGAUGUAUUUUUGUGUGUGUGAACUUUUUGCACGUAAUCUUUUUUUAUACCCAUAGCUAGCGUUUGUUUGUGUGGCAGUGUUCCGGGAGAUGGGCGCCGGGGGACAUGGGCUUGGGGAGGCGCACGUGACCUCCUCUGUCCGUGACCUCUUCAGCUGGGGAGACCGCGUGUUGCCCUGGCUGGAGAGACACGUUGAUGGAGGUGGCCGCGUGUGUCACCCUUUGCCUGUAUCCUCUGGCGCCCAGAGGCGCGUAAGUGGAGAGCAUCGGCGCAGCGCGGGAGCAGCACGUCAGGGUGUAGGGUGUUUGUUUAGCUGGUGUAGGGUGUUAGGGUGUUAGGGUGUUAGGUGUAACAACGGUUGGCUCUUUCACAGAACGGGUGUGAUUCCGUUCUGCGUUUGAGUCUUCCACCUUCAGACGGUCUCCCUCCGAGAUGUCUGAAGUUUUUUUGUCGGUUUUCUCCGUAGGAGGAAGCCGACUCUAGCUACUCUGGCCUCUCUUCCGGGGGCCAGAGCGGUCGGGCUCUGCUUGGCCAGGCGUUGCCUUUCGCGUUGUCUCCGCCGACGUUUUGCCAGACUCUUCCGUAAGGUUGAGCCUGGCUUUUUUAUUAGGUGGAUCAGGCUGCCUUCUUCCAAGGAGUCUGAUGGGAGUGGAGUCUUUUUUUUGGUGUAUGUCUGUGGGUGCUCAGUGGGUAAGGGAGGGUGGGGUAGAAUGGUUGGUGGGCUGGAAGUGGGUUGGGGGAUGAGCCUCCUGGGAUUUGGGUUGUGUCGAGCCUUACCGCCUGGUGUGUUGGGUAAACCUUCACGCCAGGGGGGGGGUGCCAAGACCAUAUCCAUCUCCUGGGCAGGGCGAUUCCCCUUUCCCAUGCUAACUGGCCCUCCUCCGUCUGCCUCCCCAAACCCCCGCUGAGUGCUUGUGUGUGUUAUUUUAUUUAGGAUGUCUUUUUUUUCUAUGCCUUUUUCCCGUGUGUUUAUACCCAAUAGCUAGCGUGUGUGUGUGUGUGUGGCAGUCCGGAGGCGCGUGCAGCGAGGACAUCACAUCACGUCACUACGGUAUAUCCACGGUAUUUGGUUUAGUGUGUGCUGUGUGUGUUUGUGUGUGUGAUGGCAGGCCUGCCGUGUGUUUGACCUUUUGCUGUGUGUUGCUGUGUGACUGCUAGGAUUUCAUUUCUAUGUAUGUUUUUUUCCCCAUAACCCCCUUCCUCCCUAGCUCUUUAGCUGUUGUCCCUGGCGAGGCGCUGGGUGGAUGCUGCCGGGCGACCAACGGCGGUGGCGGUGUGCAACGCGGGAGCUGCUGAGGUUUGAGUAGCACUACGGUGCGGGUUAUGUAGGGUGUGUGAGUUUUUUUUUUGUGUGAGUGUCUUUUUUUUGUGUGGGGUGUUGGCGGGGGACUUAGCUAAUCACUGUGUCAGGAAGGCAUGGGCGUGGCCGUCUGUCCAUCAGGCCGACGGGCGGGUGUGCCACCUGGCAGUCAGGCUAGCAGGUGACAGGCAAGCCAUCUGGUGGUCAGGCUGUCAGUCGGGCCAUCAGAUAGGUAGGCAGGCCACCUUGCGGUCGGGUUGUCGGGCGGGCACCCCACCCUCGGUCAGGUAGGCAGGCAGCAGCGUCUACGCUGAGCCGUACGGCUACACGUACGAACGCACGGAACCCGUACGCUACGUUCCGCUGCACUGACGCUCGUCGUACCUCUGCUCGCACGCUUGCGGGCGGGUUGGGGGCGGGGGGCGGAUGGGCGGACGGGCGGGCGUACGUGGGAACGGGCGGGCGGACGGGUGGUCGGGCGGGUAGGGAGUCGGAGCAACGCUUGAAAGACGCGCAGAUAGAUGUCAGAUUCUCCCGUAGGGAGGUCUGGCAAGGUGAUAGUUUAGGCGGCGGAGUUGUACGCGGGCCAGUCUGUGUUACAGCUUUGCCGCCAGGGUAGCUCCUUCCGAGCUGCCCAAACUGAGGACCAGUUUUCCUCACAGGAGGAGGCUGGUGGGGCCUAGGGUGUUAGGGGUACAACGGUUGGCUCUUUCACAGAACGGGUGUGUUCCGUUCUGCGUUUGAGUCUGCCGCCUUUGGGCGUCUCCCUCUGAGAUGUCGGUUAGGAUUUCUUUUUUUUAUAUGUCCGUGUGUGUAACUGUUGCCUUUUAGCCUGUUGUGUUCCUGAGCAGCAAGAAGAGGCGGCUGUGGUGACCCGCCCGAUGCGGAAGGCUUCUGGGCCCUGUCGGCGGGGGCGCACCUCUCUGGCUGACUGGUUGACCAGGCUUUGACCAGGUGGCCAGGGAGGCGCAUCCUCGCUGGGCGGGGUCUGGGGGCCCUCCGUCUUGGGGAGGUCGCUGCAGCAGGAGGAGGUAACUACUGGUGGUUUUGUAAGGCAUUGUGGUUGAGAGCACCUUGCAGCUGUAACGCGAAUUUCGUUCCGUAAUAAACAAUGUACCGCCAUGCUGCCUGUCCUUCCUCCCUCCCAGCACUGUGUACGUCUGUGUGUGUGUGUCUUAAUUCUCCCUCACUGCACUGUGCGUACGUCUGUGUGUGUGUGUUGCUCUGUCUCUGUCUUUCUCUGUCUCUGUCUGUCUCUCUAUCUCUCAAUCUCUCUCUGUCUUUCUCUCUCUAUCUAGUUAGUAAAGAACAGGCAACGUUUACCAUGGAAGACUCUACAGUGUACAUCCCAACCCUCUACGGCCGUUGCUGCUCCACCCGGGCAUUACCACAUCCACCCGGGUCUACAAGAAACCUCCACGGCCGAGCCUCAACCACAGAACACACCGCUACCGUUGAUGAGGUUCCACGCCCCGGACUACCGCCAUGUUAGCCUCGAUAAUAGUCCUCGGCGCACUUAUUCUGAGACGUCUAGACUGGAAAGCUACACAACACCGGUCAUCCGCUGAGUGGUUGAAUUCCUGGUCUACCCGCCCCUGGAGGAGUGGUCGAUUGCCUGGUCUACCGUGGAUGUGAGUGGUUGAUUCCCUGGUCUACCCCUGGAUGACGCAGCUGUUCCUAUGCAGGGGAAGACUCACACAAGCGAUAAGCACCUGUCGGCCCUGGAGACUCCCCCCUGAGCCUGACGGUGGAGCUGUGGGCCCUGCACCAGACCCCCACACCCCCCACACCACCCACAGCAGGGGCAGGGCGUUGAGACUCCCCCCACAGGCUAAGACAGGGAGGGACUUGAAGAUCCAGGUUUUUGUCACAUGGUAUUUGGGAGCAGCGAGUAGCAGGCUUUUUUUUUUUAAUAUAGUUUCCUUUUUUGUGUGUGCCCUUGAGCUGUCUCCUUUGUUGUAGAAAAUAAAUGCUUGACAAGGCUUUCAUAGGUGUUUGGGGCAUUUCCAGGGGUAGUUUAAUGACCCUGGUGGUAGUCUGACCCUUCCUCUGCGCAAUGAACUUGAAAGAACGCUCAUAAAAACAUAGAUAUUAACCCAGUAGCAGCGGGGAUCAUGUUUCUUAAUGGUCCCUCCAAGCGAGAAAAAUGAGAAAAAAUCACCCCUCACACAAACCAUUUCAUAAUAUAUAUCAAAGCAUUUGUGAUCAGAUUAUGUAUCAUCUAUUUUUGGGGGUUUAUAUCAUGGUACAAAUUUGGCCUGUCGCUGCUACAUGGUAAAGCCACAAAUUUGGCCCGUCGCUGCUACCGGGUUAACCUCAUUAUCAUGUUAAAAUCCCUGUAUCUCACUGUUAUCUUCCUCUCUAUAUUAUUUGU